rnacentral:rRNA from 1 species
UACAGAGGUCUCAAGCGUUUGUUCGGAUUCAUUGGGCGUAAAGGGUGUGUAGGUGGCGCCGUAAGUCGGGUGUGAAAUUUCGGAGCUUAAACUCCGAAACUGCAUUCGAUACUGCGGUGCUUGAGGACUGGAGAGGAGACUGGAAUUCAUGGUGUAGCAGUGAAAUGCGUAGAGAUCAUGAGGAAGACCAGUGGCGAAGGCGGGUCUCUGGACAGUUCCUGGACGCUGAGGCGCGAAAGCCAGGGGAGCGAACGGG